rnacentral:rRNA from 1 species
AGAGUUUGAUCCUGGCUCAGGACGAACGCUGGCGGCGUGCCUAAUACAUGCAAGUCGAGCGGACCGACGGGAGCUUGCUCCCUUAGGUUAGCGGCGGACGGGUGAGUAACACGUGGGUAACCUGCCUGUAAGACUGGGAUAACUCCGGGAAACCGGGGCUAAUACCGGAUGCUUGAUUGAACCGCAUGGUUCAAUUAUAAAAGGUGGCUUUUAGCUACCACUUACAGAUGGACCCGCGGCGCAUUAGCUAGUUGGUGAGGUAACGGCUCACCAAGGCAACGAUGCGUAGCCGACCUGAGAGGGUGAUCGGCCACACUGGGGGGACAAAAGUCUGACGAACCACCCCCCCGGGAGUGAUGAAGGUUUUCGAAUCGAAAAACUCUGUUGUUAGGGAAAAACAAUUACCGUUCAAAUAGGGCGGUACCUUGACGGUACCUAACCAAAAAGCCACGGCUAACUACUUGCCACCACCCGCGGUAAUACUUAGGUGGCAAGCGUUGUCCGGAAUUAUUGGGCGUAAAGCGCGCGCAGGCGGUUUCUUAAUUCUGAUGUGAAAGCCCCCGGCUCACCCGGGAAGGGUCAUUGAAAACUGGGAAACUUGAGUGCAAAAAAGGAGAGUGAAAUUCCCACGUGUACCGGUGAAAUGCGUAAAGAUGUGAAGGAACACCAGUGCCGAAGGCGACUCUCUGGUCUGUAACUGACGCUGAGGCGCGAAAGCGUGGGGAGCGAACAGGAUUAGAUACCCUGGUAGUCCACGCCGUAAACGAUGAGUGCUAAGUGUUAGAGGGUUUCCGCCCUUUAGUGCUGCAGCAAACGCAUUAAGCACUCCGCCUGGGGAGUACGGUCGCAAGACUGAAACUCAAAGGAAUUGACGGGGGCCCGCACAAGCGGUGGAGCAUGUGGUUUAAUUCGAAGCAACGCGAAGAACCUUACCAGGUCUUGACAUCCUCUGACAACCCUAGAGAUAGGGCUUCCCCUUCGGGGGCAGAGUGACAGGUGGUGCAUGGUUGUCGUCAGCUCGUGUCGUGAGAUGUUGGGUUAAGUCCCGCAACGAGCGCAACCCUUGAUCUUAGUUGCCAGCAUUCAGUUGGGCACUCUAAGGUGACUGCCGGUGACAAACCGGAGGAAGGUGGGGAUGACGUCAAAUCAUCAUGCCCCUUAUGACCUGGGCUACACACGUGCUACAAUGGGCAGAACAAAGGGCAGCGAAGCCGCGAGGCUAAGCCAAUCCCACAAAUCUGUUCUCAGUUCGGAUCGCAGUCUGCAACUCGACUGCGUGAAGCUGGAAUCGCUAGUAAUCGCGGAUCAGCAUGCCGCGGUGAAUACGUUCCCGGGCCUUGUACACACCGCCCGUCACACCACGAGAGUUUGUAACACCCGAAGUCGGUGAGGUAACCUUUUGGAGCCAGCCGCCGAAGGUGGGACAGAUGAUUGGGGG